rnacentral:rRNA from 1 species
GUACGGGGGGGGGCAAGCGUUUGUUCGGAAUUACUGGGCGUAAAGGCUCGUAGGCGGCCCAACUAAGUCGGAUGUGAAAUCCCCAGGCUUAACCUGGGGAACUGCAUCCGAUACUGGAUGGCUUGAAUCCGGGAGAAGGGAUGCGGAAUUCCAGGUGUAGAGGUGAAAUUCGUAGGAUAGUUUGGGAAGAACACCAGUGGCGAAGGCGGCUAACUGGUCCGAGCUGAC